GAUGAACGCUGGCGGCGUGCCUAAUACAUGCAAGUCGAGCGAAGCGGGGGCGGGUGAGUAACACGUGGAUAACCUCCUAUAAGACUGGGAUAACUUCGGGAAACCGGUGCUAAAACGGCUGCUUAUCGAUGGUUCCGUGAGGCAUUAGCUAGUUGGUAAGGUAACGGCUUACAAAGGCCACGAUGCAUAGCCGAGCUGAGAGGGUGAUCAGCCACACUGGAACUGAGACACGGUCCAGACUCCUACGGGAGGCAGCAGUAGGGAAUCUUCCGCAAUGGGCGAAAGCCUGACGGAGCAACGCCGCGUGAGUGAUGAAGGUCUUCGGAUCGUAAAACUCUGUUAUUAGGGAAGCGUUACCUAAACAGAAAGCCACGGCUAACUACGUGCCAGCAGCCGCGGUAAUAC
rnacentral:rRNA from 1 species